rnacentral:rRNA from 1 species
AGACCCGAAACCCGGUGAUCUAGCCAUGGGCAGGUUGAAGGUUGGGUAACACUAACUGGAGGACCGAACCGACUAAUGUUGAAAAAUUAGCGGAUGACCUGUGGCUGGGGGUGAAAGGCCAAUCAAACCGGGAGAUAGCUGGUUCUCCCCGAAAGCUAUUUAGGUAGCGCCUCGUGAAUUCAUCUCCGGGGGUAGAGCACUGUUUCGGCUAGGGGGCCAUCCCGGCUUACCAACCCGAUGCAAACUGCGAAUACCGGAGAAUGUUAUCACGGGAGACACACGGCGGGUGCUAACGUCCGUCGUGAAGAGGGAAACAACCCAGACCGCCAGCUAAGGUCCCAAAGUCAUGGUUAAGUGGGAAACGAUGUGGGAAGGCCCAGACAGCCAGGAUGUUGGCUUAGAAGCAGCCAUCAUUUAAAGAAAGCGUAAUAGCUCACUGGUCGAGUCGGCCUGCGCGGAAGAUGUAACGGGGCUAAACCAUGCACCGAAGCUGCGGCAGCGAACGUAUCACCCAAGACAACUUUACGGAGUUGACGAUUGACGGAGCGAAGCGACGUCAAAGCGUUCAUUAAAGUCGAGUUGGCUUAGGGAUACGUUCGUUGGGUAGGGGAGCGUUCUGUAAGCCUGUGAAGGUGUGUCGUGAGGCAUGCUGGAGGUAUCAGAAGUGCGAAUGCUGACAUAAGUAACGAUAAAGCGGGUGAAAAGCCCGCUCGCCGGAAGACCAAGGGUUCCUGUCCAACGUUAAUCGGGGCAGGGUGAGUCGACCCCUAAGGCGAGGCCGAAAGGCGUAGUCGAUGGGAAACGGGUUAAUAUUCCCGUACUUGGUGUUACUGCGAAGGGGGGACGGAGAAGGCUAUGUUGGCCGGGCGACGGUUGUCCCGGUUUAAGCGUGUAGGUGUGUGUUCCAGGUAAAUCCGGUUCACUUUAACACUGAGGCGUGACGACGAGGCACUACGGUGCUGAAGCAACAAAUGCCCUGCUUCCAGGAAAAGCCUCUAAGCAUCAGGUAACAUCAAAUCGUACCCCAAACCGACACAGGUGGUCAGGUAGAGAAUACCAAGGCGCUUGAGAGAACUCGGGUGAAGGAACUAGGCAAAAUGGUGCCGUAACUUCGGGAGAAGGCACGCUGACACGUAGGUGAAGUGAUUUACUCAUGGAGCUGAAGUCAGUCGAAGAUACCAGCUGGCUGCAACUGUUUAUUAAAAACACAGCACUGUGCAAACACGAAAGUGGACGUAUACGGUGUGACGCCUGCCCGGUGCCGGAAGGUUAAUUGAUGGGGUCAGCGCAAGCGAAGCUCCUGAUCGAAGCCCCGGUAAACGGCGGCCGUAACUAUAACGGUCCUAAGGUAGCGAAAUUCCUUGUCGGGUAAGUUCCGACCUGCACGAAUGGCGUAAUGAUGGCCAGGCUGUCUCCACCCGAGACUCAGUGAAAUUGAACUCGCUGUGAAGAUGCAGUGUACCCGCGGCAAGACGGAAAGACCCCGUGAACCUUUACUAUAGCUUGACACUGAACAUUGAGCCUUGAUGUGUAGGAUAGGUGGGAGGCUUUGAAGUGUGGACGCCAGUCUGCAUGGAGCCGACCUUGAAAUACCACCCUUUAAUGUUUGAUGUUCUAACGUGGACCCGUAAUCCGGGUUGCGGACAGUGUCUGGUGGGUAGUUUGACUGGGGCGGUCUCCUCCUAAAGAGUAACGGAGGAGCACGAAGGUUGGCUAAUCCUGGUCGGACAUCAGGAGGUUAGUGCAAUGGCAUAAGCCAGCUUGACUGCGAGCGUGACGGCGCGAGCAGGUGCGAAAGCAGGUCAUAGUGAUCCGGUGGUUCUGAAUGGAAGGGCCAUCGCUCAACGGAUAAAAGGUACUCCGGGGAUAACAGGCUGAUACCGCCCAAGAGUUCAUAUCGACGGCGGUGUUUGGCACCUCGAUGUCGGCUCAUCACAUCCUGGGGCUGAAGUAGGUCCCAAGGGUAUGGCUGUUCGCCAUUUAAAGUGGUACGCGAGCUGGGUUUAGAACGUCGUGAGACAGUUCGGUCCCUAUCUGCCGUGGGCGCUGGAGAACUGAGGGGGGCUGCUCCUAGUACGAGAGGACCGGAGUGGACGCAUCACUGGUGUUCGGGUUGUCAUGCCAAUGGCACUGCCCGGUAGCUAAAUGCGGAAGAGAUAAGUGCUGAAAGCAUCUAAGCACGAAACUUGCCCCGAGAUGAGUUCUC